GCAGAGCCAGGAUUAGAACCCAUGUCUAAUCCACUUCACCCACUAGGUCACACUGCUUUAUGAGGUGAUGGACCAGUAGAGGUGAUGGACUUUAUCUUUUUCUUCCAGUUAAACAAUCAAGACAGUAGAGGCUGCUUAUCGGCACCGAACAAAUACCAUUAUUACUGUUAUUACUAGCUCUGUGAUACAAUCCAAAGUUAUAUGGAGGUGGUGGAGUCCCCAGAUUUUGAAUAAAGGAAGAUGCCAGUUCCCUCUCUUCCCACAAGAUUCCAGAAAGCCCCCCUCCACUCCCGGGAAGCCUCAGCCCAAUUUUUAAGCAUGCAGGAGGACCUGAAUAAUGGAAGCUUAGCUAUUGUGCCAACCCAGUAAUACGCAAAAGCAGCCACUCAAUCUACGCCUCCCUCUUAUCAGAGAUUUUGCCUAGCAUAAAGUACACAGGACUGGGAAUCAGGAGACUUGAUUUAUCCUAGCUCCACCACUAGGCUGUUGUGUGACCCUGGGCAAGUCACUUAAAUUCUCUGUGCCUCAGUUUCCUCAUCUGUAAAAUGAGGAUUAAGUGUCUGUUCUACCUCCGCCCCUUUAGAUUGUCAGCCCCAUGAGGGACAGUGACUGGCUCCAAGCUGAUGAUCUCAUACCAAAUAUCACAAUUACUAUCAUUAUUAUUUUGAUACCUGAAGGCUACAACAAGGUCUACAGCUGUUCCCGGCUACCUUCAGGACCGAAAGACAGGGCAGUGGAGGGCAAUAAAACGAUUCUGCUCUGACUGGAUCACAGAGGGGACUCACCGGUUUGGGUUUUUUGGAUUCCUUUUUGUCGAUUACCUUGUUUAUCCCUUCCAGUUUCAGCUUCCAAAUAAAGCUUCUAGUCACUG